rnacentral:rRNA from 1 species
UACGAGGGGGGCAAGCGUUGUUCGGAAUUAUUGGGCGUAAAGGGUGCGUAGGCGGGUUAUUAAGUCAGUGGUGAAAGCCUUCAGCUUAACUGAAGAAUUGCCAUUGAUACUGAUGAUCUUGAGUAUGAUUGAGGUGGGCGGAAUGUGUCAUGUAGCGGUGAAAUGCUUAGAUAUGACACAGAACACCGAUUGCGAAGGCAGCUCACUAAGCCAUAACUGACGCUGAUGCACGAAAGCGUGGGGAGCAAACAGG